rnacentral:misc_RNA from 1 species
GAAAUGCGAUAAGUAGUGUGAAUUGCAGAAUUUAGCGAAUCAUCGAAUCUUUGAACGCACAUUGCGCCCCUUGGUAUUCCAUGGGGCAUGCCUGUUCGAGCGUCAUUUCAACCCUCAAGCACUGCUUGGUGUUGGGCGUUUGUCCCGCCUACGCGCGUGGACUCGACUCAAAGUCAUUGGCGGCUGUUCCCCUUCGGCUCGUAAGCGCAGCACAGUCGGCGCCCGGAGCUCUGGUGGGCUGGCGUCCAGCAAGCUAUAUUUUCAGGCUUGACCUCGGAUCAGGUAGGGAUACCCGCUGAACUUAAGC